rnacentral:lncRNA from 1 species
CUUCACUUUCUUCUUCUUGUUCUUGUUCUCUAUCUCAAAGGGUCGAGAAUCAGAAGACGAACCUCCCACUAAGUUCACCGACUCCUUGUAGAAUUGGUGAUCCUUCUCAAAGUUCUGAAACAACCCCAGUAAUCUGUGAUAGUUCACUUUAGGCUUUGUCAUUCUAUAAUGAGUGAGGAAUAGGAGAUAAGACUUGGGC